rnacentral:sRNA from 1 species
GCCGCCAAAACGAUUACUAAACAAUAAGA